rnacentral:tRNA from 1 species
GUGUUCGUAGCUCAGUUGGAUAGAGCAACGGCCUUCUAAGCCGUGGGUCCGGGGUUCGAAUCCCCGCGAGCACA